GGCAGGGGAGGAAGAUGGUGUCACAGAUUCAGGUCCUCAUGUCCCUGUUGCUCUGGGUCUCUGGUGUCUGUGGGGACAUCACAAUGACUCAGUCUCCAGGCUCCCUGGCUACAUCUGUAGGAGAGAGAAUCACCAUCAAUUGUAAGUCCAGUCAGAGUCUUUUAUCCAGCUCCAACCAGAAGAACUACCUGGCUUGGUACCAGCAGAAAAAAGGACAGCCUCCUAAACUUCUCGUCUACAGGGCAUCCACCCGGGCAUCUGGGGUCCCUGACCGCUUCAGUGGCAGUGGGUCUGGGACAGAUUUCACUCUCACUAUCAGCAGCCUCCAGGCUGAAGAUGUGGGAGAUUAUUACUGUCUGCAGAGUUACAGUGCUCCUCACACAGUGCUUCAGCCUUGA